UAGAGGUGAUGGAGGCGGUCGUCUGGAGGUGCUCGCCAUGAGGUCCGUGGCGGUCGUCUGGAGGUCCGUGGCGGUCGUCUGGAGGCGCCUGCUGCAGGUGGAGGGAAGGCCGGAGCCGUGCAGCCCAACGGAUGCAGAACGGUGAGACAUGGAACUUCAAAGCGGCACAUUUCUUCUAGGCUUGGUGAAUUGUUUAGAAUUAAAACUUUGACAUGGCGCCACAGCAACUCUGAGGUGUUCUGAAAAAUGCCAGAUGCAUUCUCAGCCACUAGGACCAGCUCCAGGAUGUAGGCUAGGUGUGUGUGGCUGGCUGUUGGGUUAAAUAAUACCUCACUCAAGACUGCACAGUAGGGCAUCAGUGAGAUCUGUGGGAGCUAAAGCAGAGGAGGAGUUGAUUAUCUGCAUCAUGUACGGGGAGAAAUGUGCAGUGUGCAAAUGGAACGUGUCAUUCGCCUUUCAGAAGGACUGAGGCGGAGGUCCUGGAGGCGGAGGUCCUGGAGGCGGAGGUCCUGGAGGCGGAGGUCCUGGAGGCGGCGGUGGCCUGGAGGUCCUGGAAGCGUCCAACCUGGAAGGGGCGGCAUGGUGGGCCAGGUGGCGGCUCCUCAUCCAAAGGUCCUGGAGGCGGCCAACCUGGAAGGCCUGGAGACGGCGGCGGGCCUGGAGGUGGACGCCAACUUGGAGGUCCUGGAGUCGGUGGGCCUGGAGGCGGUGGUUGGGACCAACCUGGAGGGCCUGGAGGCGGUGGUUGGGACCAACCUGGAGGUCCUGGCGGUGGCGUCCACCUGGCGGCGGUCAGCCUGGAGGGCCCGGCGGCGGCGGCGACGUCCUGGAGGGCCCGGCGGCGGCGGCGGCGGCGGCGGCGGCGGCGGCGGCGGCGGCGGCGACGUCCUGGAGGGCCCGGCGGCGGCGUCCUGGAGGGCCCGGCGGCGGCGUCCUGGAGGGCCCGGCGGCGGCGUCCUGGAGGGCCCGGCGGCGGCGGCGGUGGCGUCCACCCGGCGGCGGCGUCCUGGAGGGCCCGGCGGCGGCGGCGGUGGCGUCCACCUGGCGGCGGCGUCCUGGAGGGCCCGGCGGUGGCGUCCACCUGGCGGCGGCGUCCUGGAGGGCCCGGCGGCGGCGGUGGCGUCCACCUGGCGGCGGCGUCCUGGAGGGCCCGGCGGCGGCGGCAGCGGCGUCCUGGAGUGCCCGGCGGGGCGAGGGCCCGGCGGCGGUGGCGGCGGCGGCGGCUCCUCAUCCGGUUAA
rnacentral:lncRNA from 1 species